rnacentral:rRNA from 1 species
GACGAACGCUGGCGGCGUGCUUAACACAUGCAAGUCGAACGGAAAGGCCCCUUUGGGGGUCCUCGAGUGGCGAACGGGUGAGUAACACGUGAGUAACCUGCCCUUGACUUCGGGAUAACUUCAGGAAACUGGGGCUAAUACCGGAUAGGAAUCCUUGCUUCAUGGUGGGGGUUGGAAAGCUUCGGCGGUUUUGGAUGGACUCGCGGCUUAUCAGCUUGUUGGUGGGGUAGUGGCUUACCAAGGCUUUUACGGGUAGCCGGCCUGGGAGGGCGACCGGCGACAUUGGGACUGAGAGACGGCCCAGACGCCGACGGGAGGAAGCAGGGGGGAAUAUUGAACAAGGGGCGGAAGCCUGAUGCAGAAACGCCGCGGGCGGGAGGACGGCCUUCGGGUUGGAAACCGCUUUCAGCAGGGGCGAAGCUUGUGGUGACGGUACCUGCAGAAGAAGCACCGGCUAACUACGUG